rnacentral:tRNA from 1 species
GUUAUUUUGGCAGAAUAGUGCAAUAGAUUUAGAAUCUAUAUAUGUAUAAUUGCUUAUACAAAUAAUA